rnacentral:rRNA from 1 species
GUGGGGAAUAUUGGACAAUGGGGGGAACCCUGAUCCAGCCAUGCCGCGUGUGUGAAGAAGGCCUUUUGGUUGUAAAGCACUUUAAGUGGGGAGGAGGCUUACCUGGUUAAUACCUGGGCUAAGUGGACGUUACCCACAGAAUAAGCAACGGCUAACUCUGUGCCAGCAGCCGCGGUAAUACAGAGGGUGCGAGCGUUAAUCGGAUUUACUGGGCGUAAAGCGCGCGUAGGUGGUUAAUUAAGUCAAAUGUGAAAUCCCCGUGCUUAACUUGGGAAUUGCAUUCGAUACUGGUUAGCUAGAGUAUGGGAGAGGAUGGUAGAAUUCCAGGUGUAGCGGUGAAAUGCGUAGAGAUCUGGAGGAAUACCGAUGGCGAAGGCAGCCAUCUGGCCUAAUACUGACACUGAGGUGCGAAAGCAUGGGGAGCAAACAGGAUUAGAUACCCCGGUAGUCC